rnacentral:tRNA from 1 species
GGUGAGAUGGCCGAGCGGUUAAGGCGGCAGACUCAAGAUUUAGGUCUUGUCUUCUAAAAGAAGAUUUCUGCUCUCGAAAGAGGCGUGGGUUCGAGUCCCACUCUCAUCA